UACAGAGGAUGCAAGCGUUAUCCGGAAUGAUUGGGCGUAAAGCGUCUGUAGGUGGCUUUUAAGUCCGCCGUCAAAUCCCAGGGCUCAACUCUGGACAGGCGGUGGAAACUACCAAGCUGGAGUACGGUAGGGGCAGAGGGAAUUUCCGGUGGAGCGGUGAAAUGCGUAGAGAUCGGAAAGAACACCAACGGCGGAAAGCAACUCUGCUGGGCCGACACUGACACUGAGAGACGAAAGCUAGGGGAGCGAAUGGG
rnacentral:rRNA from 1 species